GCCAUAGCUCAGUGGUAGAACAUCGGUUUUGCAUACAGAAGGUCCCAAGUUAAAUCCCUGAUAGCUUCA